rnacentral:rRNA from 1 species
AGAACGAACGCUGGCGGCAUGCCUAACACAUGCAAGUCGAACGUGAUCCAGGCUUCGGCCUGGUGAAAGUGGCAGACGGGUGAGUAACGCGUGGGAACCUGCCCUGUGGUAGGGAAUAACCGUGGGAAACUGCGGCUAAUACCCUAUGAGUCCUUCGGGAGAAAGAUUUAUCGCCAUAGGAGGGGCCCGCGUCGGAUUAGGUAGUUGGUGGGGUAACGGCCUACCAAGCCUUCGAUCCGUAGCUGGUCUGAGAGGAUGAUCAGCCACACUGGGACUGAGAUACGGCCCAGACUCCUACGGGAGGCAGCAGUGGGGAAUAUUGGACAAUGGGGGCAACCCUGAUCCAGCAAUGCCGCGUGGAUGAUGAAGGCCUUCGGGUUGUAAAGGUCCUUUCGGCGGGGAAGAUGAUGACGGUACCCGCAGAAGAAGCCCCGGCUAACUUCGCGCCAGCAGCCGC